GUGAACGCUGGCGGUAGGCCUAACACCUGCAAGUCGAACGGCAGCACAGUAAGAGCUUGCUCUUACGGGUGGCGAGUGGCGGACGGGUGAGGAAUACAUCGGAAUCUACUUUUUCGUGGGGGAUAACGUAGGGAAACUUACGCUAAUACCGCAUACGACCUACGGGUGAAAGCAGGGGAUCUUCGGACCUUGCGCGAUUGAAUGAGCCGAUGUCGGAUUAGCUAGUUGGCGGGGUAAAGGCCCACCAAGGCGACGAUCCGUAGCUGGUCUGAGAGGAUGAUCAGCCACACUGCAACUGAGACACGGUCCAGACUCCUACGGGAGGCAGCAGUGGGGAAUAUUGGACAAUGGGCGCAAGCCUGAUCCAGCCAUACCGCGUGGGUGAAGAAGGCCUUCGGGUUGUAAAGCCCUUUUGUUGGGAAAGAAAAGCAGCAGGUUAAUACCCCGCUGUUCUGACGGUACCCAAAGAAUAAGCACCGGCUAACUUCGUG
rnacentral:rRNA from 1 species